rnacentral:rRNA from 1 species
CCUACGGGGGGCUGCAGUGGGGAAUAUUGGGCAAUGGGCGCAAGCCUGACCCAGCAACGCCGCGUGAAGGAAGAAGGCUUUCGGGUUGUAAACUUCUGUUCUCAGGGACGAAGCAAGUGACGGUACCUGAGGAAUAAGCCACGCCUAACUACGUGCCAGCGGCCGCGGUAAUAUGUAGGUGGCAAGCGUUAUCCGGAUUUACUGGGUGUAAGGGGCGUGUAGGCGGGAAAGCACUUCGGAUUUGAAAACCAUGGGCUCAACCUGUGGCCUGCAUUUGGAAGUGUUAUGCUAGAGUACUGGAGAGGAAGACGGAACUCCUAGUGUAGCGGUGAAAUGCGUAGAUAUUAGGAGGAACACCAGUGGCGAAGGCGG